rnacentral:rRNA from 1 species
GCGACAUAAACAAUCCUUCGGGUGCGCUUAUGGGCGGCGAGCGGCGGACGGGUGAGUAAUGCCUGGGAAUAUGCCCUGAUGUGGGGGAUAACCAUUGGAAACGAUGGCUAAUACCGCAUAAUCUCUUCGGAGCAAAGAGGGGGACCUUCGGGCCUCUCGCGUCAGGAUUAGCCCAGGUGAGAUUAGCUAGUUGGUGAGGUAAGAGCUCACCAAGGCGACGAUCUCUAGCUGGUCUGAGAGGAUGAUCAGCCACACUGGAACUGAGACACGGUCCAGACUCCUACGGGAGGCAGCAGUGGGGAAUAUUGCACAAUGGGGGAAACCCUGAUGCAGCCAUGCCGCGUGUGUGAAGAAGGCCUUCGGGUUGUAAAGCACUUUCAGUUGUGAGGAAGGCAUAUACGUUAAUAGCGUAUGUGUUUGACGUUAGCAACAGAAGAAGCACC